CCCCUGUAGUCUCAGCUAGUGGGGAGGCGGGAGGAUCACUUGAGCCCAGGAGUUCUGGGCUGUAGUGUGCAGUGCUGAUAGCAGGUGUCUGCACUAACUUCGGUAUCAAUAUGGUGACCUCCCUGGAGCAGAGGACCACCAGAUGAUACAGAUACAGUUCACCUAAAGAGAGGUGAACUAGCCCAGUCUAGAAACUGAGCAGGUCAAAACUUUCAUCUUAUCAGUAGUGGGGAUCCCUGUGAAUAGCCACUGUACUCCAGCUUGGGCAAAAUAGCAAGACCCUGUCUCU
rnacentral:SRP_RNA from 1 species